rnacentral:rRNA from 1 species
GUGGGGAGUAUUGGACAAUGGGCGAAAGCCUGAUCCAGCCAUGCCGCGUGUGUGAAGAAGGUCUUCGGAUUGUAAAGCACUUUAAGUUGGGAGGAAGGGCAGUAAGUUAAUACCUUGCUGUUUUGACGUUACCGACAGAAUAAGCACCGGCUAACUUCGUGCCAGCAGCCGCGGUAAUACGAAGGGUGCAAGCGUUAAUCGGAAUUACUGGGCGUAAAGCGCGCGUAGGUGGUUUUGUAAGUUGGAGGUGAAAUCCCCGGGCUCAACCUGGGAACUGCCUCCAAAACUGCAUGACUAGAGUACGGUAGAGGGUAGUGGAAUUUCCUGUGUAGCGGUGAAAUGCGUAGAUAUAGGAAGGAACACCAGUGGCGAAGGCGACUACCUGGACUGAUACUGACACUGAGGUGCGAAAGCGUGGGGAGCAAACAGGAUUAGAUACCCCGGUAGUCC